UUCAGAGCACGAUUCUUUAUGACGUGUGAUGGA
rnacentral:rRNA from 1 species